GAACGUUUCUUUAAGCCCAAAACGAUCUUUAUCGCUUUUAUGAUUUCUUUAGACUUUUCUAAAUUAAUUACAACACAUAAUUAAUCCAAUUAAUUGUUUCCAUCGUCCAUUAGUUACUCACUACAAUAGUGUAUUGGUGAACAACCUUUUAGGUUCUAAUUAGCAAGGCAGUGAGGUGAUUGGCAUCAAUCCAAUUGCUCAUAUUUAAUUCAAUCACUUAGUGAAUUAAAACUUCAUUUUAAUUCACCUUUCUUCUUUGACGACUACAUUUAAUCAUCUAGAAGAACUCACAAGCUAUGAGUGACAUCUAACCAUAUGUCAUAGCUACCCAAGCUAAGGUAGAAGUUUAUUCGGAGAACCUAGUCAG
rnacentral:lncRNA from 1 species